GUUUGGGAGGAGUUUACGAACUCCGAGUGGUGAAGGAUAGUGCCAAGAAAAGCUGGCUAUGUGAUGAAGAUAGAACACCCGUACCCGAAACCGACACAGGUAGGGAGGUUGAGAAUACCAAGGGGCGCGAGAUAACUCUCUCUAAGGAACUCGGCAAAAUGGCCCCGUAACUUCGGGAGAAGGGGUGCCCACCUCAGACGUGGGUCGCAGUGAAGAGAUCCAGGCGACUGUUUACCAAAAACACAGGUCUCCGCCAACUCGCAAGAGGACGUAUGGGGGCUGACGCCUGCCCAGUGCCGGAAGGUUAAGGAAGCUGGUCAGCGAAAGUAAAGCUGGCGACUGAAGCCCCGGUGAACGGCGGCCGUAACUAUAACGGUCCUAAGGUAGCGAAAUUCCUUGUCGGGUAAGUUCCGACCCGCACGAAAGGCGUAACGAUCUGGAUGGUGUCUCAGAGAGAGACUCGGCGAAAUAGGAAUGUCUGUGAAGAUACGGACUGCCUGCACCUGGACAGAAAGACCCUAUGAAGCUUUACUGUAGCCUGGAAUUGUGUUCGGGCUUCGCUUGCGCAGGAUAGGUGGGAAGCGGUGAACUAUUCCUUUUGGGGAAUAGGGAGCUAACGGUGAGAUACCACUCUGGCGAAGCUAGAAUUCUAACCCACGACCGUCAGCCGGUUGGGGAACAGUUUCAGGUGGGCAGUUUGACUGGGGCGGUCGCCUCCUAAAAAGUAACGGAGGCGCGCAAAGGUUCCCUCAGCACGCUUGGAAACCGUGCGACGAGUGUAAAAGCAAAAGGGAGCUUGACUGCAAGACUGACAAGUCGAGCAGGUACGAAAGUAGGCUUUAGUGAUCCGACGGCGCAGAGUGGAAUGGCCGUCGCUCAACGGAUAAAAGUUACUCUAGGGAUAACAGGCUGAUCUCCCCCAAGAGUCCACAUCGACGGGGAGGUUUGGCACCUCGAUGUCGGCUCAUCGCAACCUGGGGCGGAAGUACGUCCCAAGGGUUGGGCUGUUCGCCCAUUAAAGCGGUACGUGAGCUGGGUUCAGAACGUCGUGAGACAGUGCGGUCCAUAUCCGGUGCAGGCGCAAGAGUAUUGAGAGGAGUCCUCCUUAGUACGAGAGGACCGGGAGGAACGCACCGCUGGUGUACCAGUUAUUGUACCAACAGUAAACGCUGGGUAGCCAAGUGCGGAGAGGAUAACCGCUGAAAGCAUCUAAGUGGGAAGCCCACCUCAAGAUGAGUACUCUCACUACAAAAAGUAGGUAAGGUCACGGGCAGAACACCCGUUAAUAGGCUCUAAGUGGAAGUGCAGUAAUGUAUGAAGCUGAGGGGUACUAAUAGACCGAGGGCUUG
rnacentral:rRNA from 1 species